UACGUAGGGGGCAAGCGUUGUCCGGAAUCAUUGGGCGUAAAGAGCGUGUAGGCGGCCAGAUAAGUCCGCUGUGAAAUCUCGAGGCUCAACUUCGAGCUGUCGGUGGAGACUGUCUGGCUAGAGUCCGGAAGAGGAGAAUGGAAUUCCUGGUGUAGCGGUGAAAUGCGCAGAUAUCAGGAAGAACACCCGUGGCGAAGGCGGUUCUCUGGGACGGUACUGACGCUGAGGUGCGAAAGCGUGGGGAGCGAACAGG
rnacentral:rRNA from 1 species